rnacentral:sRNA from 1 species
GUCCGAUGGUAGUGAGUUAUCAGAACUUAUUAACAUUAGUGUCACUAAAGUUGGUAUACAAACCCCCCCCCCCCACUGCUGAAUUUUUUA